UACGUAGGUGGCGAGCGUUGUCCGGAUUUACUGGGCGUAAAGGGAGCGUAGGCGGAUUUUUAAGUGAGAUGUGAAAUACUCGGGCUCAACUUGAGUGCUGCAUUUCAAACUGGAAGUCUAGAGUGCAGGAGAGGAGAAUGGAAUUCCUAGUGUAGCGGUGAAAUGCGUAGAUAUAUGGAGGAACACCAGUGGCGAAGGCGGCUUCCUGGUCUGCAACUGACACUGAGGCGCGAAAGCGUGGGGAGCAAACAGG
rnacentral:rRNA from 1 species